rnacentral:rRNA from 1 species
GCAAGUCUGGUGCCAGCAGCCGCGGUAAUUCCAGCUCCAAGAGCGUAUAUUAAAGUUGUUGCAGUUAAAAAGCUCGUAGUUGAACUUUGUGCUUGGCUGGCCGGUCCGUUUUUUAACGAGUACUGGUUUUCACCCGAGCCUUUCCUCCUGGUUGCUGUGUAGUUGGGCUUGUCUCACCUGCAUAUGAUCCAGGACUAUCACUUUGAAAAAAUUAGAGUGUUCAAAGCAGGCGUUUAGCUCGAAUAUAUUAACAUGGAAUAAUGAAAUAGGACGUAUGGUUCUAUUUUGUUGGUUUCUAGGACCAUCGUAAUGAUUAAUAGGGACGGUCGGGGGCAUCAGUAUUCAAUUGUCAGAGGUGAAAUUCUUGGAUUUAUUGAAGACUAACUACUGCGAAAGCAUUUGCCAAA